UACGGGAGGCAGCAGUGGGGAAUAUUGCACAAUGGGCGCAAGCCUGAUGCAGCCAUGCCGCGUGUAUGAAAAAGGCCUUCGGGUUGUAAAGUACUUUCAGUCGUGAGGAAGGUGUUAAGGUUAAUAACCUUAGCAAUUGACGUUAGCGACAGAAGAAGCACCGGCUAACUCCGUGCCAGCAGCCGCGGUAAUACGGAGGGUGCGAGCGUUAAUCGGAAUUACUGGGCGUAAAGGGCACGCAGGCGGUUAAUUAAGUUGGAUGUGAAAUCCCCGGGCUUAACCUGGGAAUGGCAUUCAAGACUGGUUAGCUAGAGUCUUGUAGAGGGGGUAGAAUUCCAUGUGUAGCGGUGAAAUGCGUAGAGAUGUGGAGGAAUACCGGUGGCGAAGGCGGCCCCCUGGACAAAGACUGACGCUCAUGUGCGAAAGCGUGGGGAGCGAAACAGGG
rnacentral:rRNA from 1 species